GGGUCCCACUGUGUUCCCCAGGCUGGUCUUGAACUCCUGGCCUCAAGCGAUCCUCCCACCUCAGCCUCACAAAGUGCUGGGGAUUACAGGCGUGAGCCACCGUGCCCAGCCAGCAUAAGUUUAUUACCUUACAGUUUUGGAGAUCCAAGGUCUGAAAUGGAUCUAACAGAGCUAAAUUCAAGGUGUCGGUAGGCUGCAUCCAGUCUGGAGACUCUAGGGGAGAACCUGUCCAUCACCCUUUAUGGCUUCUAGCGGCUGCCUGCACUCCUUGGCUAAUGGCCCCUUCUCCAUCCUCAAAGCCAGCAACGGACGCCGAGUUUCUUUUUGGCAGCUCCCCGAGGAGGAAGGAGGGGGGAAGCGCCUCCCAGCCUUCCCCUCCCUCUUCUCCUGCGGGCCCGGGGGCCCUCCUCCUCCUCUCCAGCCCCAGUACCUCACUGGAAUCGCGUUUCAGCUAUUAAAUUAUAACUCUGGAGUGGCCGCUGGAUGGGGAGGGGGCGCGCAGGGAGGGCCCUACACAGGGCCUUUUAGGAGCACGCCCAGUGGGGCACUUGGGGACGGGAGCAGACAGUAGCGCAGAGCCCUCUCCAGGCAGGAACACGCUGGGCCUCCCCAGACCCGAGACCCAGCCCGGGCGAACACACUGCAGACUCACCACCCACCACGGACCGGAGAUGUCAUCCUGUCGCUGCUGUAAUGAAUUAAGCCAAACGUGGUGGCUGAAAACAGUACAGAUUCAUUACCUUACAGUUCUGGAAGUCAGCAGUCUGAAGUGGCUCCUGGAGAGAUGGAAUCAAGGUGCCAGCAGGGCUGUGUUCCUCUUGGAGGAUCUGAGGGAGAAUCUAUUUCCUCACCUUUUCCAGCUGCCAGGGGAGCGUUGGCUUCGAACCCAGUCUGUCCAACUUCAAAGCCUGCAGUUGCCGUCAUUUCAGGAUUCCCGCUUUUCCCAUGCGUAUUGUCUGAACCUGCAUUUGGGGGCUCCAGCCACUGCCUCAUCAGUUCAUCUUAAUUGAGCACCUAUUAUGUACCAUUUGUAACAAAAUAAUAUAAUAAUAUGUAUUGGCUGGGCACAUGAUGCAGCCAGCCAGGAUGCUGGCUGCAUCCUCCCAGCACUUUGGGAGGCCCAGGAGGGAGGAUCACUUGAGACCAGGAGUUGGAGACCAGCCUGGCCAGUAUAGUGAGACUCAUCUUUACAAAAAAAUUUAAAAAUUAGCUGGGUGGGGUCGUGCACACUUGCAGUCCCAGCUACUUGGGAGGCUGAGGUGGGUGGAUUACUUGAGCAUGGGAGGUCAAGGCUGUAGUAAGCCAUGAUCACGCCACUAUACUCCAGCCUGGGUGACAGAGCAAGAACCUGUCUCAAAAUUAUAAUAUAUAUUUCUGUAAGUAUAUGCUCAAAUACAGAGAAAAGGGAACACUUAUACACUGCUGGUGGGAAUGUAAAUUAUUUCAGCUACUGUGGAAAGCAGUGUGAUUUCUCAAAUGUAACAAACCUGCACAUGUACCCCUUGAACCUAAAAUAAAAGUUGGAAAGAAAAAGAAAAAUCGUCUAGCCUGUAUAAAGAAAAACACACGAGUCCCUAGUAUAUGUGUGGCUUGAUGAAUUGUUAGAGUUGUGUAAUCCCCACCGUAGUCAUGAUGUGAGCCAUUUCUAGCACCCCAGGAGGCUCCCUCCUGCCCCGUGUGGUCUACCCUGCCCUUGCCACAACACGCCACCAUGCCUCGCUAAUUCUUUUUGUUGUUGUUAGAGAUAGGGUUUCGUUCUGUUGCCUAAAAUGGUCUGGAACUCCUGGGCUCAAGGGAUCCUCCAGCCUCGCCCUCCCAAAGUGCUGGUAUUACAGGCGUGAGUCACUUCCAGGAGGAAGGCGCGGGGAACAGGUUGGCCCAGUCAGCUGGCUGGGACUUCAAAGGAAAGCGCCGCUGGGGCCCACCUGGGGCGCAGCGGAGCACCUCCCACAGAGGGAAGGAAAUGCCAGCCCUGGGGCGACCUCAGAACAUCUGCAGGGACAAGGGUGUGUCAGGCCACCUGGGCAAGCGCUUUACCUCUCUGUGCCUCGGUUUGCUCAUCUGGGAAUUGGGGAUGUUGAGAGCACCUGAGUCCCAGCACUGCUGUGACACAUGCAGCUCCUCUGCCCGCCUUGCUCAUCCCCCUGGUUUGCUCAUGGCUGCCUUCUCAGAAAGUGCUUCCCAGCACCCCCUGCCCCCGGGGCUAAAGUCACAGUCACCUCUUGCAGUCCCUCCUUAGCCCUCACCUGGGUUUCAUGACUGCA
rnacentral:lncRNA from 1 species